UACGUAGGGGGCGAGCGUUGUCCGGAUUCAUUGGGCGUAAAGCGCGCGUAGGCGGCUCGAUAAGUCGGCCGUGAAAUCUCCAGGCUCAACUUGGAGGGGUCGGGCGAGACUGUCGGGCUCGAGGUGGGCAGAGGGCAGUGGAAUUCCGGGUGUAGUGGUGGAAUGCGUAGAGAUCCGGAGGAACACCAGUGGCGAAGGCGGCUGCCUGGGCCUGGCCUGACGCUGAGGCGCGAAAGCGUGGGGAGCGAUC
rnacentral:rRNA from 1 species